CAGUCGAGCGGAACGAAAGUAGCUUGCUACUAGGCGUCGANCGGCGGACGGGUGAGUAAUGCUUAGGAAUCUACCGAGUAGUGGGGGAUAGCCAUUGGAAACGAUGAUUAAUACCGCAUAUAUCCUACGGGGGAAAGCAGGGGACCUUCGGGCCUUGCGCUAUUCGAUGAGCCUGAGUGAGAUUAGCUAGUUGGUGGGGUAAAGGCCUACCAAGGCGACGAUCUCUAGCUGGUCUGAGAGGAUGAUCAGCCACACUGGGACUGAGACACGGCCCAGACUCCUACGGGAGGCAGCAGUGGGGAAUAUUGCACAAUGGGCGAAAGCCUGAUGCAGCCAUGCCGCGUGUGUGAAGAAGGCCUUCGGGUUGUAAAGCACUUUCAGCGAGGAGGAAAGGUUAGUAGUUAAUAACUGCUAGCUGUGACGUUACUCGCAGAAGAAGCACCGGCUAAUUUAGUGCCAGCAGCCGCGGUAAUACUAAAGGUGCAAGCGUUAAUCGGAAUUACUGGGCGUAAAGCGCGCGUAGGUGGUUUGUUAAGUUGGAUGUGAAAGCCCAGGGCUCAACCUUGGAACUGCAUUCAAAACUGACUCACUAGAGUACGAGAGAGGUUAGUGGAAUUUCCUGUGUAGCGGUGAAAUGCGUAGAGAUGGGAAGGAACACCAGUGGCGAAGGCGACUGACUGGCUCGAUACUGACACUGAGGUGCGAAAGCGUGGGGAGCAAACGGGAUUAGAUACCCCGGUAGUCCACGCCGUAAACGAUGUCUACUAGCCGUUGGAGGACUUGAUCCUUUAGUGGCGCAGCUAACGCGAUAAGUAGACCGCCUGGGGAGUACGGCCGCAAGAUUAAAACUCAAAUGAAUUGACGGGGGCCCGCACAAGCGGUGGAGCAUNNNNNUUAAUUCGAAGCAACGCGAAGAACCUUACCUACUCUUGACAUCCANNNAACUUGCUAGAGAUAGCUUGGUGCCUUCGGGAACACUGNGACANNNNNNNCAUGGNUG
rnacentral:rRNA from 1 species